GCUUAACCGUGGAGGGUCAUUGGAAACUGGGAAACUUGAGUGCAUAAAAAGAAAGUGGAAUUCCCUGUGUAGCGGUGAAAUGCGCAGAGAUAUGGAGGAACACCAGUGGCGAAAGGGACUUUCUGGUCUGUAACUGACGCUGAUGUGCGAAAGCGUGGGGAUCAAACAGGAUUAAAUACCCUGGGAGUCCCCGCCCUAAACGAUGAGUGCUAAGUGUUAGGGGGGUUCCCCCCCUUAAUGGUGCAGCUAAAGCAUUAAACACUCCCCCCGGGGAGUACCACCGCCAGGUUGAAACUCAAAGGAAUUGACGGGGACCCCCACAAGCGGGGGAGCAUGUGGUUUAAUUUUAAGCAACGCGAAGAACCUUACCAAAUCUUGACAUCCUUUGAAAACUCUAUAGAUAGAGCCUUCCCCUUCCGGGGACAAAGUGACAGGUGGUGCAUGGUUGUCGUCAGCUCGUGUCGUGAGAUGUUGGGUUAAGUCCCGCAACGAGCGCAACCCUUAAUCUUAGUUGCCAUCAUUAAGUUGGGGCACUCUAAGUUGACUGCCGGUGACAAACCGGAAGGAAGGUGGGGGAUGACGUCCAAUCAUCCUGGCCCUUAUGAUCUGGGGCACACACGUGCUAAAAAUGGACCAUAACAAG
rnacentral:rRNA from 1 species